rnacentral:misc_RNA from 1 species
CACACCCCUAAAAUUACAUAAAUAGAAAUAAAUGCAAAAUACAUGAAUAUUCCUCCUUUAGUCCCUAAAAUUUAUAUUUUAGGGCCCAAACUUUCUACCCUUUGACAUUCUCCUCCAUUUAAACUAUCAAUGUCCUCAUCGACUGAGCUUGUCAUAACUGCUCAAUUUCUUUGUGCAUCUGGCUGUAGAAUACGUAAUGAAAUAUUAUCUCAUUAAAAACCUUUACCAAGAAAAACCUAGAGGGGAAAAACCUUGGUGAAGGAAAA